GGCUCCAUCGUCUAAUGGUAGGACAUAGGAUUUUCAAUCCUAGAACGUUGGGUUCAACUCCCACUGGAGUCA
rnacentral:tRNA from 1 species